UACAUUGCUAUUACAAAGCUGAUUAUAUUUCAUAUUGCAAUUAUGAUGAAUACAGUUUCAACGAAUGAAUCUGGUAAAGAAGAUAUACCACCUGUAUACGAUUUUUCAACCAAUGAGGAUCAUUUUAGAAUAACUCCACCACGAAAAUUAACAUUUUUUAGAGAAUCAACUUCUUCCUAUACGAGUGAUAGAAAAUUACCAUCUUUGUCUGUAGCAGCCGUUCGAAAGAUAACACAGUUGGAAAUUGCUUUGGCCCAGGAAAAAAAGUGUAAUGAAGAAAUGAGGUGUGAACUUUAUAAUCAAAGAUUGAUCUCAUCCCACAGCUCAGCUACAAAUUCCAAUAACAUUUUCUCUCAGACGAGAUAUAAUCAAGAAAAAGUUUUGGCUGUACAUUUAAGUGAAACGCAGGCCGCAUUUGAAAAAGCUGAAAAGGAAAUCGAAAACCUUAAAAACAACAUUCAAUUCGUUCGACUAUCUGCAGCGUCUGAAAUCAAUGAAGUUCAUAAGAAUCUUAAAUCCAAAUGUCAACAAUUGCAAGAAUUAGAAGACGAAGUUAUCAUAUUAAGAGACAUGCUUAAAAACGAUAAUAUGUUUGGCGUUAUUCCCGUCAAAAGCCUUUCGUCAACAUGUCAGCAAAAUUCAGUCGUCCCCAUCAAUCCUCCACCAUUUUCUGUAGAACAAUGUAUACAUAUCUUUCUGAAAGGAAACCUUGAACAAAAUGUUCAUUAUGAAAAUACUGAGAGUUUUGUGACUAACGAAGGAAACUCUGCUUUUUCUUCUGAAGAAUUUAAACGAAUGCAACUUAAUUAUAAAAAGCAGAUGGAAGACCUAAAUCUUGGCCACAAGAAACAACUUGAGGAAACUUAUUCUUGUCAUAGAAAACAGCUUGAAGCAAUAAAACAUGACUACGAAAAUCAGCUUGAAGAUAUGAAAGUUCAACUAGAUCGACUUCGAGAAAAAUUGAGUCAACGCGACACAGCCAUGGAAAAAAUUGAGACGGAACUGAAGGGUACAUGUAUUGCUUUGACCGAACAUGAAAGAAUGCUAAAAAAUCGUUCAAAAGAAAUAUCGAAUUUACAACAUAAACUUAAUAAGAGAGAAAAAGUUGAAGAUACUCUAAACCAAUUAGAAAAAAAAAUGAAUCAAAUUAAAGAUGAAGAACGGGAUUUGCAGAACGAUCGUUCCACAUUAAUUAGGGAACAACAAGAGCUAGAGAGAAAACGUCGUGAAAUAUUAGAUGAGCGCCAAGACAUUUUAAUCCAGGCUAAUGAACUUGAUUGUGCUCGGAAACGCGUUCUUUCCCAUAUGGCGGUAUAUCGUCAAUGCUCAAAGCAAUUUUCGAAAGUUUUUUGUGUACGAGUGGAAUUAUUUAAUGGACAGCAAGACAAUGAAUUACAGGAACGUCUUAACACUUCGAUAGGUGUUCAAAAUGCGUUAAGGCACCAGCUUUCUAUAGCUCAAAAACUUGUUUCAAAAAAAAACUUGGGUGUUCUAGAAGAGCAAAAAUGCAAAAACUGGGACGGUCAACACCUUGAAAAGCAAACUAUUAAUCCGAUGAAAGAUUCAGUGGAUAUUUUUUUGAAACCGCAACCACCGAAUCAAUAUCAAGACCCUUCCGCUCAAAACAACGAGCGCCACAAAAGUCGUUUUCAGUUAGAUAAUUCCCAAAAUCAAUCUUUUAUUCCCGAAAAUCAUGCUAUACCGUGUACGAAUAUUGCUAGUAUUAAAAAACCUGAACAUCAAAUUGAACAAAAGAGAUAACGGAGACAAAUCAAUUUACUGAAUUCGCCUUUUGAAUAAGCUAACGAUUAAAUGCUUCUUUUUAACCAAUAACAACGUCUAAUAAUUUUUUUAAAAAGUAAUCUAUCACAACAACUAACUAUAACUGAAAUAAACCACAAAAUAACGGUUUUCUGCUCC